UUUUUUCAUUUAAAAAAAGUAAUUUCUUGGUGAUAAAAAGAAAUAUUUUUUUAGUAGCUUUUCGAUGCUAUAAAAAAAGUGUUGGCUAAGUUUGUAUGAUAAAAUUGGUGUUAUUUAUAUACCAGCACUUUCGCUAGGGUCUUAUUUAUUGGGAAAACUGAUUAAUAAACUAAUCUUCUGUUUUGUUUUCAGUUCAAAGAGUGGUAGAGUAGAGGAGGAGGCAUGGCUCAGACAUUUGGGUGCAGCUCUGGAGAUAGUAGAUGGUCUCUCAAGGGAAUGACUGCUCUUGUAACUGGUGGAACUAAAGGAAUUGGGUUGGUGUUACCUGUUUUUAUGUCUUUGGGUUUGGACUAUACCUUCCUAUAUAUAAACGUAUGUAUCAAUUCUGCAGGCAUGCAAUUGUGGAGGAACUGGCUGGAUUAGGAGCAACCAUACACACGUGUUCUCGAAAAGAAACCGAGCUCAAUGAAUGCUUGAAGGAUUGGAAAGCUAAAGGUUUUGGAGUGAGUGGUUCAGUGUGUGAUGUAUCCUCUCGGGCCCAAAGGGAGAAGCUAAUGGAGACUGUCUCUUCUGUGUUCAAAGGGAAGCUGAAUAUCCUUGUAAGUUCCUCUAGUCUCUAAGGUUCCGAUCCAUGAUAUUCCACAUACUUUGUCGAACUUCCAACAAUUUGAGUUCCCCUACUUGAUAUAUAUAUUUUGGUUCCGGAUUCAGGUCAACAACGCUGCUAUUGUUAUUCAGAAACCAACAGUAGAGGUCACGGCAGAAGAGUUCUCAACAAUCAUGGCCAUAAAUUUUGAAUCUGUGUAUCAUCUGUCCCAACUCGCACACCCCCUUUUAAAGGCAUCAGGAGCGGGAAGCAUUGUAUUCAUCUCCUCUGUUGCCGGCGUAGUGUCAAUCAAGUAUCUGUCUGCUUAUUCAGUAACCAAAGGUAUUUCAUUACAUGAUCCACAUUAUAUAUAUAUAUAUAUAUUGCAAGUUCUUGGGUUGUGGCCCUUGUGGCCUUCUCGGCGUGUCAUUAUCAUUAUCAUAUUGUGAUUUUUCAGGAGCAAUGAAUCAGCUUACAAAGAAUUUGGCAUGCGAGUGGGCGGAAGACAAUAUUAGAAGUAAUGCAGUUGCUCCUUGGUACAUCAAAACUCCGAUGGUGGAUCAGGUAAUUCAGUUGCUCUUCUGUUUUGUCUGGGAAAAUUCAAUAAUCAAUUCCUCUCUCUUUUCUGUCUUUUGCAUAAUCUGGGUUGCAGAUGUUCAGUAACAAAACCUUUCUGGAAGAGGUGAUAAAUCGAGCUCCACUUCGCCGUGUGGGAGAUCCGAAGGAGGUGUCAUCUUUGGUGGCAUUCCUCUGUCUACCAGCAUCGUCUUACAUUACUGGACAGACUAUUUGUGUCGAUGGUGGCGUGACUGUUAAUGGUUUUGAGCCAAACCUGUUCUAGGAACAUCAUUAAGACUCUCAAAAAUCUUAGCUUCCUCUACCGCUUUCCUGUUUGGAUCCUGUCUUUUUCCUGAAUAAUCUGUUUGUGGUGGUAAGUACUCUUCUGUUUUUUCGGUGUGGGGUUCAUUUGAAAACAUUGUUGCAUGAUGCUUAUAAUAAUCGUUGGAAAGUUUGUAAGAAGUUACUUAUCAUUGGAUGAGAUUCUUGUGAUGGGUGUUUCCUAUAAUCAGAUUUAUCUUGUUAUUGUAGUAAUAGGAUUGAAAGAAAAAUGCAAAUAAUCAUAAAAGGAUGAUGAAAAUCGGGAAGAGUUCAUCAUUUUUACUUAUUCAAAUAUUACACCAUCUCUUAUUUACAAUAAAUUUCAAAGAGUGUAAGUGAAACCAACCUUAAAUUAAUUUUGUUUGAUAAAUUUAGAUGAAAUUCAACAAGUGUGAAUCUUUAAUUUUUUUUCAUUUCAAUUAAUUUGGUAUCUAUUAUGAGGUUGCCCAUCAAGCUAAAAAUGACCAAAUAUGAUAUAAGCAUGAAGUCUUUGUUAUAUCUCGGAGAUUAAGAAUUGAUUCCAAUACUUUAUAACUUCCUCUUUUUACUUUAUAUAUCCAUGAAUUUAAGAUAGGUCCCUCACAUGUUUAGCUUCUCCCCUUGACGUACGUAGUGUCAUAUGGACAAUAAUUAAUGCUUGUUCAGCUAAGGUCAAAUAUAUGAAAACAAAUAAGAUUCAUUCACGUAAAACAUACAUGUAGCAAAGAGACGAAGGAAAGUGGGUUCUGUGAUCUAUCACACAUCAUGGAAAAAGCUGUGGUACCAUGGCUUUUCCAGGACUUUUCCUUGCAUAAUGGUACUGACAACAGUAUGCUAUUCUGUUGUUACUCUUAAGAUAUUUUAAUAUAAAGUAGCGCGUAUGUACUAUAUACAAUUCAGUGACGCCAUCUAACACGUUAGCCAAUAAGGUUACAAAUUUUAAUUUUAUAUUAAUAAUAUGAUUUGGGUAUGCUCCAUAUUUUAAAAUAUAAUUGAAUCAUAAAUAUCUAGAACUAGAAAUCCUUUUGAGGGACCAAUAACAUAAAUCAUUAAAAUUUUAUAAUUUGAUAUUAUAAAUUCCUAAUUAAAUUUUAAAAUAUAUUAAAUUUAUUUGAUAUAAAUAUAUAUAAAAAUAAAGAAAAAAAUUAAUAUUUUCAUAUGAUAAAUUAUACAAAAAAAAACAAAUAUAUUUUUUUUUAUCAAAGUUGUUUUCAACAAUAUUUCAAAAAUAUAUAUAUAAAUUUGGGAAACUUGUAUUUUGGAGCUGCUAUUUAGAAAUGAUAUGGUUUUCAGAACCCAAAAAUGGGAAAUAUGAUAAUCAAUUUUUAAUAUGAAAAGUAUUAUCGUUUUUGUGCAUUCUGAGUCGGCUUCAUCUUUUGUGCCCAAAUUGCCCCUCCAUGUCUCCAGCUCAGCAUUCUCAACAUCAUCCCAACCUCCAUGUCAGUAGGACCAUUGAAAUUAAGAAAAAAAAAAACACUAAAAUCUAAAUUUGUAACUUCUCAAAAAAAAAAAAACCCAAUAUGCAAGUUUUCAAUUUGCUCAUUUGGAAGCUUUUUCUCAUCUUUUUCUCUCAUUUUAGUUUAGAAACUCAAAUCCAAAACUCUAAAUGUGAUAUGUUGUGGAAUUGUUUUCAUAGUCCUUAACAAGAUGCAUGCGGCAUGUACUGAACUUUAACCUAAUUCCUUCUACCAAUUUUUCUGGCCCCAAGUUACUAGGGACUAUGGCUCCGAUUGGGUGGUUUUUGAGUAGUCAAAAACCAUUUUUAAAGCUUAGUAAAAAAUUUUAUGCCCCUCAUUUUAUUUAAACAAUUUAUAACUUAAAAAAAUAAGAAAAUAAAAAAAAAUGUUUUUUUAAGCUUUAUUUUGACUUAUUCAAAAAGUUUUUUUAUUUUUUUUAUUUUUAUGUUUAAUACAUUUUUUAUAAUUUCAAUAUUAUUUUUAAAAAAUAGUGACUUUUAGCUUUUAAUUAAAACUAAGAACAAGAAGUUAUUCCAAAUAUGACUUAUGUAUUCAUUCAAUGAAAGUAACUUUUUCAUUUAAAAAAAGUAAUUUCUUGGUGAUAAAAAGAAAUAUUUUUUUAGUAGCUUUUUGAUGCUAUAAAAAAAGUGUUGGCUAAGUUUGUAUGAUAAAAUUGGUGUUAUUUAUAUACCUGCACUUUUGCUAGGGUCUUAUUUAUAGGGAAACUUGUGUUUAAUAUGCUCAAUUCUAUUUCUUUGUAUGGCUAUGCAAUUGUUCAGAUUUGGCAACACUAAUCAAUAAAUGUACGUUAUAUUUGAAACAUUGGAAUAAAAAAAAGAAUAAGAGUUAAUUUUAUUUUCAAUUUAUUACUAUAUUUGAAUUAUUUUUUACAAUGAUAAUAGAAUUAAAAAGAAAAUCACUUAGUAACCCUUAGGUACUACCUUAAUAUACCUUAAAUAACCUUAAUCGAUCUUAGAUAUUAUCUUAGUUACACUUGGGUACUACCUAUGUGAAGCCUCAAAACUUCAUUUGUAGACAUUACUUCAUGUGUGAACAUUAGAGAUGACAUUAUGUGCACCUUUAAUAAGUGUUACUAAGGUAGUACCUAAGGUACAAUCAACACUAUAUCAAAGGUGCACAUAAUGUCAUGCUCUAAUGUUCACAAAUAAAGUAAGUAAUGUUUACAAAUGAAGUUUCCAGGCUUCACACAGGUAGUAUCCAAGUCUAAUUAAGUAGUACCUAAGGUCGGUAAGGUAGAUUAAGGUAAUACCUAAGGGUUACUAAGGUAGUACCUAAGGUACAAUCACCACUAUAUCAAAGGGGCACAUAAUGUCAUGCUCUAAUGUUCACAAAUAAAGUAAGUAAUGUCCAUAAAUAAAGUUUCGAGGCUUCACACAGGUGGUACCCAAGUUUAACUGAGAUAAUACCUACAAUUAGUUAAAAUUAGUACCUACAAUCAGUUAAGAUAGUACUUAAGAUAAAUUAAUGUAGUACCUAAAGGUUACUAAGGUAGUACCUAAAGGUUACUAAGGUAGUACCUAAGGUACAGUAAAUACUAAAGAACAAUAAAUAAAAAUUAAUUACCUUCGUAUUUCGAGUAGGGGUUAGGGAAAAAUGUGACAGAAUGACAGGAAGACGAGACAUUUUUUUUUAGGAAACCAAUAUUUUGGAUUUCACCUUUUCGUCCAAGUACGCUUUGCUAUAGAAAAAUCAAUAUCAUAGUUGCGCCUAUUGAAACCAUCUUUUAACUGGACGUUCUUAGGAUGGAGUGCUCCAUUUGGUUGUUGAGAAUUUAGACAAGAAAGAAAAAUGCAGGUUGGAGUUUUGGAUUAAGGGUUUCUUUUCUCAAAUUGAAGAAAUUUUAGGAAAUUUUAAAUGGGUUUUAGGAUCGUCUGGGUGAUAAAGCCAAGAGAAAUAGAGAAAGAAAUGUUUCCAACCUUUAAGAGGAAAAAGUUUCAGAUUUGGGAAAUUUGAGAUGGUUCCCGGGUCAAGUGUUUUUUUGUGUUUUAGAUUUGAGAAGUUUCAAAUUCUUGGAGAAGAUAUAAAUAUGUAGAUUUGAAUUUUAAGGGUUUCUUUUUUGAAAUGAGAGAAAUUUUGGAAAAUUUUAUAGGUGUCUUUCUAAUUCGGCUAGGUAAGGAAGUGAAGAGAGUUGAGAGAAAAUGUUCCCAAAUGAGAGAGAUGGAAAGUUUUUGAUUUGGGAAAUUAGAGGUGUUGUCAGGAUGGGUGUUUAUGAGAACUUUCAAAUUCUAAUUUUUGUGUUUUGUUUAAUUUCAGAAGGUCUUGUUGACAUGAAAAGCUGACUUACUGCUGACAUGGAGACAUUGAGGGACAAUCUGGGAAUAGAAAAUGUAAACAUGACAUAGUGCAUGAGAACGAUAAUAUUUUCUCCAAUAACAGGGAAAUAUCAUAUUUCAUAUACUUGGGGUUCGAAAAGCAUAUAAUUUUCAAAUCACAGACUGAAAACACAAGUUUCCCAUAAAUAUACUUAAAGCAUGUUUGAUAACAAUUUUGAAAAAUAAUUUUCGAAAAUAGUUAUUUAAAAUUGUUUUUUGAUGUUUACAACAUAAAAAAAAAAAAAAAACAUGUUUGACAACCUAAAAUAAUUUUUAUAUCUAAUAUUUUAUUUUUAAUAAUUCGAUAUAUUUGUAUAAUUAUUUUUAAAAAUAGCUGUAAAAAAUAAGUGAAAACAAGUAAAGAUGUUAUCCGAAAACAUUAUAUUUUUUAUUUUUAAAAACAAAAAAUAGUUUUUCUUAUUCUCAAACAAGUUUUCCUGUUUUUUACGAAGAAAAAAUUAUUGUCAAACAAUCCCUUAUAUACUUGUGUUUUAUCAAGUGGUGAAAUAUCUUUGUAUGAAUUAUAUAGCAACUCAUAAGAGUAAGAGAAAAAGAGACAAUUUUAAAAGUGCAUAUGACAAGUGGAAAUUAUUAGAAAAGAGGCAAUUUUAAGAAUGGAUUUGAUAUGUGUCACAAAGACCACUAAAAUUUGGUGUGAAUAUAUAAAUAAGUUUUAAAUUUUGUUGAUUAACAUAUCUAUAAAUUUUUUUAUUUAUAAAAUUUAAUUUUUAGAGAAAUUUUAGAUAAAAAGAUUUUAGAUCUAUUCAAUCAAAAAUUGAAAGAGUAACUUAAUGUAUUUACUCUAAGCCUCAUGGUGUGUGAAUUAAACCAACCUUCAAAGAAAAAUAGAAAAAAAAAAAAGUGAAUCAUAAUAAAAAGGAAAGUAGUCAAAAUCAAAAGGAGAAUCAAAUUUGAUUUCCAUAUUAGUGAUUUUUUAAAAAAAAUUCUAUUAUCAUUGUAAAAAAUAAUUCAAAUACAUUAAUAAAUUGAAAAUAAACUUAACUCUUAUUCUCAUUUCUUAUUCCAAUGUUUCAAAUAUAACGUCCAUUUAUUGAUUAGUGUUGCCAAAUCCGAACAAUUGCAUAGCAAUACAAAGAAAUGGAAUUGAGCAUAUAAAACACUUUUUUUUUAUAGUAUCAAAAAGCUACUGAAAAAAAUAUUUCUUAUCUCCAAGAAAUUACUUUUUUAAAAUGAAAAAAUUACUUUCAUUGAAUGAAUACAUAAGCCGUAUUUGGAAUAACUUCUUAUUCUUAAUUUUAAUUAAAAGCAAAAAGUCACAAUUUUUUAAAAAUAAUAUUGAUAUUAUAAAAAAUGUAUUAAACAUAAAAAAACCUUUUUGAAUAAAUCAAAAUAAAGCUUUAAAAAAAACAUUUUCUUGAUUUUCAUAUUAAGUUAUUUUUUAAGUUAUAAAUUAUUUAAAUAAAAUGAGCAGCAUAAAAAAUCUUAUAGAGCUUUAAAAAUGGUUUUUGACUACUCAAAUCCACCCAAUCGGAACCAUCAUCCCGGUAACUUGGGGCCAGAAAAAUUGGCAAAAGGAAUGAGGUUAAAGUUCAGUACGUGUUGCAUGCAUCUUAUUAAAGACCAUAAAAGCAAUUCCAUAAUAUAUCACAUUUGGAGUUUUGGAUUUGGGUUUUUAAACUAAAAUGAGAGAAAUUUUGGGUUGUCGAAAGCGAAGAAAGAUGAGAGAAAACUUUCAAAUAAGUAAAUUGAAAACUUACAGAUUGUGUGUGUGUGUUUUUUUUUUUUUUUUUUAAAAAAAGUUAUAGAUUAAGAUUUUAAUAUUUUUUUUUUCUUAAUUUCAGUGGUUUGAUUGAUAUAGAGGUUGAAAUGAUGUUGAGGAUGCUAAGCUGGAGACAUGAAUGGGCAACUUGGGCAUGAAAGAUGGAGCCAGCUCAGAGGCAUAAAAACGAUAAUACUUUUUAUAUUAAAAAUUGAUUUUCAUAUUAAAUUUUAUACAUCUAUUUUAAAACAAUUAAAAUUUUAUUCAAUUUUCAAUUAUAAUAUAUGCACUGCCUCUCGCGGGUCGAUACUGCUGACGAGUGCAUGAAAUUAUUAUAAAUAUCUCAUGGAAUGAGGACAGAUUAAAGAAGAGGAGAGAGAGAGAGAGAGAGGGAGAAGAAGAAGACAACCAAAAAAGAAAAGGAAGACAGCAUUGUAAACAUAGAAAAUGGAAAGUAUUGGAAAUAUUUCAUGAAAUCGGAGUAAACAACAAAACAAAAUAAAAUACUUUUAAUCCCUGUUUCCUACUUCUGUCAUAAAGUAUGGAUAGAGAUGAGACGAAGGAGGAGAAGGAGGAGAAGGAGGAGCACUCAGCUUUCACCGAUACUGCAGUGUGUUGUGGUGGUGUAGCAUAUGGUAGGAUGUCAUUCUUGCUCCAAAAGUGUGGGCAGAUCCAUUUUUAUUUUCCUUUUUUCAUCUCUGUCCUCACUGAUUCGUUUUGGGUAUCCAUCAAUAUUUAUCAGUGGGCUUGGUGUUAGUCAAAAGCCACCAAUUUUUCUUUCCUUUUUUUUUUUCCCAUAUAUUAGAAUGAAAUGUUGUUGUCCAUUUUAGGGGAAGGCGUUAUGCUGAACUGAACUGUGCGAGGGGAAUGAAAAUUAAUUUAGGGGUUUUCUUCCUCCUCUAUUUUUGGCUCUCUUUCAUGAGGGUACAGAUUCUCUUUUUUUCUCUCGGAGUGUUUGGAUUGUUUCAUUCCAUUUAACUAUUUUUGCAGCAUAUUCCGAGUGUUAUAGGUAUUGGGUAAUCAGUAAUACAGAAAAUGUAAUAUAAUUUUGUACUAUGUAGUUUUGGACUUGGGGUAGGAUGAGUUUAAUUUAUGUAGAUUCAUGUCACUAUUCUCAGCCUUCAAUGCAUUGAUUUCUCCAGAUUUUGAUAUAUAUAUAUAUAUAUAUAUACAAACUGCAAUGGGAAUAAAAAGGAUGGUUGUUUCUUCAAGAAUUCUGAGAAAAAAAAAGGGGGUGGGGGGGCAAGAGAGGUUUGAGGAGGCCAUUGGGACUGUUAUCAGUUCUGUGUCUUUUGUUUUCAAGUUGUAAGAAGUCCCUGUUAUGCCAUUUGCUAUGUUGUUUCUGUCCAAUUUUCAGUUGAAAGAGUGGUAGAUUAGAGAAGGAGGAAUGGCUCAGACAUCUGGAUGCAGCUCUGGAGAUAGUAGAUGGUCUCUCAAGGGAAUGACUGCUCUCGUAACUGGUGGAACUAAAGGAAUUGGGUUUGUGAUGUUACCUGUAUUCUAUGUCUUUGGUUUGGACUACACCUUCCUUCCCAUAUAUAAAUGUAUGUAUCAAUUAUGCAGGCAUGCAAUUGUGGAAGAACUGGCUGGACUAGGAGCAACCAUACACACAUGUUCUAGAAAAGAAACCGAGCUCAAUGAAUGCUUGAAGGAUUGGAAAGCUAAAGGUUUUGGAGUGAGUGGUUCAGUGUGUGAUGUAUCCUCUCGGGCCCAAAGGGAGAAGCUAAUGCAGACUAUCUCUUCUGUGUUCAAUGGGAAGUUGAAUAUCCUUGUAAGUUCCUCUAGCCUGUAAAGUUCCAACCUGUGAUCUUAUACAUAAUUUGUUGAACUUAUUACAAUUGAGUUCCCCUGCUUGAAUUUUUGUUGGAUUCAGAUCAACAAUGCUGCUAUAAGUAUUCAGAAACCAACAAUAGAGGUCACAGCUGAAGAGUUCUCAACAAUCAUGGCCACAAAUUUUGAAUCUGUGUACCAUCUGUCCCAAAUCGCACACCCCCUUUUAAAGGCAUCAGGAGCCGGAAGCAUUGUAUUCAUCUCCUCUGUUUCCGGCAUAGUGGCACACAAGAAUAUCUCUGCUUAUUCAGUAACCAAAGGUAUUUCAUCACAUGAUCCAUGGUAUAUUCCAAGUGCUAGGAGUAAAUUCCUAUUUACCAGAGCAAUACUGAACAAGAGAAACAUAUAGAAUUUAUAGCGGUUCUCUUCUAAAGGGAGAGCUACAUCCAUUUUGCCAUUGUAGAUUUUCAUUAUGAAAAAAAAAAAAACCUACAGAACGAUCUCAGGUCUUACAAUAAUUAUCUCAUCUCUGAUUUUCCACAGAGAAAACAGUCACCAUGCAUGUACAAAAUAACUAUAAUAUCCCUUUGAUUGAUUCUCAGUCACCAGGAAAAGUGUAUAUUGUAAUUAGCAAGGCUCCACACAACUGAACAGCAAGUCCUUGGAUUGACCAUCUGUCAUUAUCAUUUUGUGAUUUUUCAGGAGCAAUGAAUCAACUUACAAAGAAUUUGGCAUGCGAGUGGGCGAAAGACAAUAUUAGAAGUAAUGCUGUAGCUCCUUGGUACAUCAAAACUCCAAUGGUGGAGCAGGUAAUUUCUAAUUUCCCUUCACAUCAUUUAGUUGCUCGAAUUCCCUUCUUUUUUUCUUGGUCUGGGAAAAUAGAAUAAUUGACUCGUCCUUCCUUCUCUGUCGUUUACAUUCUCUGGGUUCCAGAUGCUCACUAACCAAGCCUUUCUGGAAGAGGUGAUAAAUCGAGCUCCACUUCGUCGUGUGGGAGAUCCAAAGGAGGUGUCAUCUUUGGUAGCAUUCCUCUGCCUACCGGCAUCAUCUUACAUUACUGGACAGAUUAUUUGUGUUGAUGGUGGCAUGACUGUUAAUGGUUUUGAGUCAAACCUGCUCUAGGAACAUCAUAUGUGAUGGUAUUAUAGCCCUAAUUUGGCUGGCAUGUAUGGAGACUCUUUCAAACAUCUUAGCUUCCUCUACUGCUUCCAUGCCUGGAUCCUUUCUUUUUCCUGAAUAAUCUGCUUGUCAUGCCAAAGUCUUUAGUUUUUUUGGUGUGGGGUUCCCUUGAAAACCUUGCUGCAUGAUGCUUAUAAUAAUGUUUGGAAAGUUUGCUAAUUUUUAUUUGGGUUCAAAUUUUAAUUUUUCAAAAAGUUUCUUAUUAUUUGAUGAGAUUCUUGUGAAGGGUGUUUUUAUAAGGAUUUUAAUUCCAUACAUAAAUCAUACAUCUUUAAUCUCAAUACCAUUGAAAUAUAUAUCCAAUCCUUUGUUGUUCUUUCGUUUUUUUGUAACUUAAUUGUAGUAGGAUCGGAAAUAUGCGAACACUUUCUACUUUUGACCAUUUGCUUUGCUAAAUUAGACCAACUUUUCAUAAUACAAUUCUCAAGUAUUUCUUCAUUUUCAUUACAAUGAUCAUGCAUGGAUAUGGAAAAACUAAUCGGACUCUAAUGUCGUUCAAAUGCAUUUCAUAGAUCAAUCUUCAUCGUCGUAUCCUAAUUUUCAAAACUUGUUAGAACUUCUAAACUUAGUCAAUAUGUAUAGACAUGAUAUCCUCCAUGAUUUUUUUUUAUUGCAACGAAAAAAAGUUAUACAUUCUAUAUUUGAUCCCUAAAUAAAAAAGAAAAAAAGAAAAAAAAAAGAAUGUCUUGCAAAAAUAUUAGGGUUGCACAAAGUUUGGUUGUUAGAAUAAGUAAAAAUGAUGUGCAUCAAAAUAUGUCUUUGAGAAUGGCAAAUAUGUGAGUGCGCUUUAAAAACUCAAAUGGCUUCAAAUGAAUUUCAAGGAAAUGAUUCCAACAUAUAUUCAUCUUCUUAUACCUUUCUGUGCUUCUCCACCAUUUGUAACAAUUUCCUCACUCAUUUGUAAUCCUAAUAAACCUUCCGACCUAUUUUAAAAUUUGUCAAUAUAUUUUAAGCUAAGCUCACCAUCUAUAGUAUCAAAAAAAUUUCUCCUUAAUCCAUGUGGGAUAUGUAUAAUGAAUAAUAUUUGCUCAAAGGUUAAAUAUAUGAAAAUAAUUAAGAUUCAAUCACAUAAAAAUUACAUAUAGCAAGUAGGGAUAACAAUUUUGAUACUAAUAUAAUAAAACGACUAAAAAAUUACAUGGAUUUUAGUAGUUUUGGGUUAAGUAUAAUCAUAUUUAUGUUAUAAUUGUGUAAACACAUUUAUUAAACCAAUGAUAUUGGAAUGUGACUAUUCAACUCAUUUAACCCAUUUAUUUAUUCAUAUCAAAACACAUCUAUGAUAUGAUUAUGAGAACUAAUUUAUGAUUGACAUAACCAAUUUAUAACUUAUUAAUUAAUUCAUAUAAAUUUAUUAAUUUUAUAGAUAUUUAAAAAAUAUUAAAAAUUUAAAACACUUUUUCAAUUAUAAAGAUGUCCUAUAAAACACUAAGGAGGUCACCCUUAUUUAUAUAUGAAAUUAGGGAAUUAAAUUUGAAAUAUAUGAUAUUUGAUUACUUAAUUUAAAGAAUUUGAUUUCUUAAUUUCAAUAACUUUUCAGCCUCAUUUAAGAAAUUUGCCAACAAUCAAAUGUUUUUUCUAAGUCCCUUUUGACUUCAAUUUCCCAAUUUGUUUCUCCUAUUUGAGAAAUCUAUCAAUAAGAAAAUAUUUCUCUCUAAUUCCUUUUUAACUUUAAUUAUUUUAUUUUAUUUUAUAAGACUAGAUUUUGAAACCGUUCAAAUUUUACCGUGUGUUAUUUUUAAAAUCGUAUAUCGCAUGUUCAAUGUGUAGAAUUCAUGACUUAUGAAAUCCAAAUUUUAUUGAACUAUAGGGUUAUAACUUUAGUGACAAAUUUUAUAGUAAUUUAAUCCUUCUUUUAUUUUUAAGCCUACAUAGCUCAACAAGUUGAAUAUAUUUUUAUCGUGUUAAUGGGUUAUCAGUCUUGAUUUAAUUUAAUUUAUCAAAGAGGUUAAAUGAAUGAUUCCCAAUUUGCCACCACAAUAACAAGAGACAACAGACAGAAGGAAAGAGAAACUAAAAUACGUAAUGUGACUUUUCCUUUCAUGUUGCUUACUAUACUUGGUGUCUCUUAAUUUGUUUUUAUUAUAAGAUGUUAAUAAUAUGAUUUUAUUGAUUUAUACCCCAUAUAUAUCAUUUGAGGGAUUGAAAAUAUUGCAAAUUCAUAAUUAAAUUUAAAAGAUAAAUACAUAUACACACACACACAUAUAUAUAUAUAUAUAUAUAUAUAUAUAUAUAUAUAUGAAUAAAAAAAAUCAUCUAUGUAUAAAAUAAUAAUAAGUAGUCUAUUUUUAUCAUUUUUAUGUUAGAAGUUAAUCGAAAACAUAUUUUUUGUUUUUCCAUAAUUUAUACAAAAUUAUAAUAAAAUUUUUAUUCUAGAUAAAAUUAUAUUUUAUAAUUUGUAAUAAUUUAAUUAUAUCAAUUUAAUAUUUUGAUAUCCGUCGUAAAUUAUAUAGAAAUAUUGGAGUGCAAAUACUAAACUACAUAAUAACAACAAGACACCUUAUUCAUCCAAAUUUUCAAAUUUCAAAUAGAAAAUAUUAAAAACAUAAUUUUUAAAUUUAUUAAAAUAUUUAUAUUUGUAAAAAAGUAAUUAAUAAAGAUUUUAAAAUUUUAAAUAUGAUUAAUGAGAUUAUUAUGUGGGUAUUUAUUACUAAUAUUUAAUAUUAAAAAAAAUAAAAUAACAAUAUGAUAUUAAGAUUAUAUUUUUAUAAAUAUAGCAAAAUGAGAUUAUUCUAAAUUCAGUGAUGAUAACAUUAUAGUAAAAAUAAGGAGUGAUAUAAUUAUAAAUAUUUCACUAAGAGCAUAAAAAAUAAAAAAAUAUGGUAAAUUUAGCGAGUAAUAUUGUUACUAUAAAUAUCUGGUGACACGACGACAGAUAUAUGAGUAGAGAAAAACCUCGCUAUUCUACAUAUAGAGAUUCAGAUACCAUUGCCUAUGUCAUGAAAUCAGAGUCCACAAGAAGACAACAUAAAAUGCUAUCGAUCCAUCGCUGUUUCUUGCUCCUGUUAUAAAUUAUGGAUACUAGAUGAAGAUGAGAAGUAGAAGGAGAAGAAACACUUAGCUUUCAAGGAGUCGUAGAGCAGAGGAGGAGACAUGGCUCAGACAUGUGGGUGCAGCUCUGGAGAUAGUAGAUGGUUUCUCAAGGGAAUGACUGCUCUUGUAACCGGUGGAACUAAAGGAAUUGGGUUGGUGUUACCUGUUUUUACGUCUUUGGGUUUGGACUACACCUUCCUAUAUAUAAACGUAUGUAUCAAUUCUGCAGGCAUGCAAUUGUGGAGGAACUGGCUGGAUUAGGAGCAACCAUACACACGUGUUCUCGAAAAGAAAGCGAGCUCAAUGAAUGCUUAAAGGAUUGGAAAGCUAAAGGUUUGGAGUGAGUGGUUCAGU
rnacentral:lncRNA from 1 species